rnacentral:snRNA from 1 species
AAAGUAAUACAGUGGUAGUAUCACAGCCAAUGAGGUUAAUCUGAGGUGUGAUUAUUGCUAGUUGAAAUCUUUCAUUGUUAUCAUAUAUCCCACUCACUUAUAGAGCUGGCUGGAAAACGAGGAUUAAACUUCAUGAAAAAUGUUGAGGGUUUGAAAUUUGUUUUCAUUCCACAUUGGAA